rnacentral:rRNA from 1 species
CGCGGCCUAUCAGCUUGUUGGUGGGGUGAUGGCUCACCAAAGGCGACGGCGGGUAGCCGGCCUGAGAGGGCGACCGGCCACACUGGGACUGAGACACGGCCCAGACUCAUACGGGAGGCAGCAGUGGGGAAUAUUGCACAAUGGGCGCAAGCCUGAUGCAGCGACGCCGCGUGAGGGAUGGAGGCCUUCGGGUUGUAAACCUCUUUCAGCAGGGAAGAAGCGCAAGUGACGGUACCUGCAGAAGAAGCGCCGGCUAACUACGUGCCAGCAGCCGCGGUAAUACGUAGGGCGCAAGCGUUGUCCGGAAUUAUUGGGCGUAAAGAGCUCGUAGGCGGUUUGUCGCGUCUGCUGUGAAAACCUGAGGCUCAACCUCGGGCUUGCAGUGGGUACGGGCAGACUAGAGUGCGGUAGGGGUGACUGGAAUUCCUGGUGUAGCGGUGGAAUGCGCAGAUAUCAGGAGGAACACCGAUGGCGAAGGCAGGUCACUGGGCCGCAACUGACGCUGAGGAGCGAAAGCAUGGGGAGCGAACAGGAUUAGAUACCCUGGUAGUCCAUGCCGUAAACGUUGGGCACUAGGUGUGGGGCUCAUUCCACGAGUUCCGUGCCGCAGCAAACGCAUUAAGUGCCCCGCCUGGGGAGUACGG